AACGAACGCUGGCGGCAUGCCUAACACAUGCAAGUCGAACGAGACCUUCGGGUCUAGUGGCGCACGGGUGCGUAACGCGUGGGAACCUGCCCUUAGGUUCGGAAUAACUCCCCGAAAGGGGUGCUAAUACCGGAUAAUGUCUUCGGACCAAAGAUUUAUCGCCUUUGGAUGGGCCCGCGUUGGAUUAGCUAGUUGGUAGGGUAAAAGCCUACCAAGGCGACGAUCCAUAGCUGGUCUGAGAGGAUGAUCAGCCACACUGGGACUGAGACACGGCCCAGACUCCUACGGGAGGCAGCAGUGGGGAAUAGUGGGCAAUGGGCGAAAGCCUGAUCCAGCAAUGCCGCGUGAGUGAUGAAGGCCUUAGGGUUGUAAAGCUCUUUUACCCGGGAUGAUAAUGACAGUACCGGGAGAAUAAGCUCCGGCUAACUCCGUG
rnacentral:rRNA from 1 species